UACACGCUGUGACUAGCAUAUCAAUAAGCGGAGGAAAAGAAACUAACUAGGAUUCCCUCAGUAACGGCGAGUGAAGCGGGAAGAGCUCAAAUUUGAAAUCUUCAAGGUUCUACCUUGACGAAUUGUAGUUUAAAGAAGUGUUUUCUGUUGGAGUUUUGGUAAAAGUUCUUUGGAAUAGGACAUCAUAGAGGGUGAGAAUCCCGUAUUUGACCAUUAUUUCCAGCUUUGUGAUACACUUUCAAAGAGUCGGAUUGUUUGGGAAUGCAGUCCAAAAUGGGUGGUAAAUUUCAUCUAAAGCUAAAUAUUGGCGAGAGACCGAUAGCGAACAAGUACCGUGAGGGAAAGAUGAAAAGAACUUUGAAAAGAGAGUUAAACAGUACGUGAAAUUGUCAAAAGGGAAGCGUUUGACACCAGUGUUGUUUUCUCGAAAAUCAAUUAAAAAAGGCAGGAUUUUGUGUUGUAUUGACUUUAUCAGCUUUCUGCACUCUUUUCUUGUCUUUUUUAAUGCACUUUUCGUUUAACAAGUCAACAUCAAUUUCUUUUGUUGUAAAAGGGUCAUUGGAAGGUGGCUUUCUUUUCGGAGAAAGUGUUUAUAGCCUUUGGCCUCUGCAAUCGGAGAGAUUGAGGUCUGCAGCGUAGAUCCUUCGGGGUUAGAUACAUUUGUGCUAAGUUAUAGCCUUUCAUAGACAACUUGUUGACUAUGAUCAGUCAUGUAGCUUACUCGCUUAUGCUAUUUUACCUACGCUUAGGAUGUGAAGACUCUACAGAGAUA
rnacentral:rRNA from 1 species